AUCUGGGUGAAAAAACCUCCAAAUCUUCUUCUUCUUCUUCUCUAAACUUAUUAUUACUUGAUUCAUAUAAUACCACUUCUUUUUUUUUGGCUUUCAUGAGUUGCAAUUCUCUUCACUCCCACUACACACAGAUAUUGUCCUUUUCCCAGGUGAAUAACUGAACAUUACCAUUCCAUUCUGCUUUUGGAUCGAUGUGCGACGAUCUAAAAUCAAAUCUGCCCCACUUUGAGUUUUUUCCAAAGAGGUUAGGGAAUGGUAUUAGUUCUCGGCUGAGCUACUCGAGACAGUUUUCACCAAAAAACUUGUUGCCUCUAGAAUGAUUUUGGAAGUUGACUUUCUGUAUUGAGCACAUUGAUGCAUUGGCUCAAGUUAUGAAUCACCGACAAGAGGAGUUCUCGAGAUUUCACGGUUGGAAAUCAGAGAAAAACUCUGAAGGAAAUUUUCAUGAUAAGGAUGGAGUGCACCGAACUAAAGUUGUAAUAGCUUCCAACGAAUUACAUAAAGGCUUGGAACCUGGUAAAUGGAAGGCCAAAAGCAUAAUUCAAGCCGUAAAAUCCAGUUUAAGUGGUUUUGUGGAAGAAAGCUUGGGAUCCAACAAGAACAUACUUGAUCCUCAAGGACCUUUUCUUCAGAAGUGGAACAAAAUAUUUGUAUUAUCUUGUGUAAUUGCCAUCUCCUUGGAUCCUUUGUUCCUUUACAUUCCAUUGAUUGAUAAUGACAACAAAUGCCUGGGGAUAGACAGAACAUUGGAGGUUACAGCUAGUGUUUUGCGUUCUUUUACUGAUAUAUUUUACUUUCUUCAUAUUGCCCUUCAAUUUCGAACUGGUUUUAUUGCUCCUUCUUCACGUGUAUUUGGAAGAGGCGUUUUAGUUGAAGAUGCUUGGGAGAUAGCAAAGAGAUACUUGUCCACGUACUUCUUGAUUGAUAUUCUCGCAGUUCUACCACUACCACAGGUUGUAAUUUUAAUUAUAAUCCCUAAGUUGCGGGGUGCAAGAUCCCUGAAUACCAAGAAUUUGCUGAAGUCUGUUGUCUUUUUCCAAUAUAUUCCAAGGGUCCUUCGAGUUUAUCCUUUAUAUAAGGAAGUCACAAGAACAUCUGGCAUACUCACUGAAACAGCAUGGGCUGGAGCUGCUUUCAAUCUAUUCCUUUAUAUGCUUGCCAGCCACGUACUUGGAGCCUUUUGGUAUCUGUUUUCUAUAGAACGUGAAACUACUUGCUGGAAACAAGCUUGUGCAAAUUCCUCUGCCUGUCGUCAUGCCUCGUUGUAUUGUGAUGAUAAUCAUACAGGAUUUAAAACGUUGCUGAAUAUUUCCUGCCCUAUAGAGACACCAAACACAACGCUCUUUGAUUUUGGGAUGUUCCUUGACGCUCUCCAAUCAGAUGUUGUAGGAUCUAUGAAUUUUCCACAGAAGUUCUUUUAUUGUUUCUGGUGGGGUUUACAGAACUUAAGUUCCCUUGGUCAAAAUCUCCAAACAAGUACCUACGUAUGGGAAAUUUGCUUUGCAGUUUUCAUUUCCAUCGCUGGCUUGGUGCUAUUUUCAUUUCUCAUUGGAAACAUGCAGACGUAUCUGCAGUCUACAACACUCAGACUAGAAGAGAUGAGGGUGAAAAGACGAGAUGCAGAGCAGUGGAUGUCUCACCGCUUACUCCCUGAGCACCUCCGGGAGAGGAUCAGGCGCUAUGAGCAAUACAAGUGGCAGGAAACUAGGGGUGUUGAUGAAGAGACUCUGAUCCUCAACCUGCCUAAAGAUCUUAGAAGAGAUAUUAAGCGUCAUCUUUGUUUGGCUUUGCUAAUGAGGGUUCCAAUGUUUGAAAAAAUGGAUGAGCAACUCCUGGAUGCACUAUGUGACCGUCUCAGGCCUGUCCUCUACACAGAGAACAGCUUCAUUGUGCGUGAAGGUGAUCCGGUUGAUGAGAUGCUUUUU
rnacentral:misc_RNA from 1 species